CGGACGGGUGAGUAAUGUCUGGGAAACUGCCUGAUGGAGGGGGAUAACUACUGGAAACGGUAGCUAAUACCGCAUAACGUCGCAAGACCAAAGAGGGGGACCUUCGGGCCUCUUGCCAUCGGAUGUGCCCAGAUGGGAUUAGCUAGUAGGUGGGGUAACGGCUCACCUAGGCGACGAUCCCUAGCUGGUCUGAGAGGAUGACCAGCCACACUGGAAUGAGACACGGUCCAG
rnacentral:rRNA from 1 species